GUGAAGAGCUCCUCCGGGAUCUCGAUCCCCCGCCGCUGCCUCGCAAUGGCGUCGAGGCGGGACUGCUCCUCGGCGGCGACAUUGCGGACCAAGGCGGUUGCGGCCUCGACCUCGUCGAUGCUGGGGCGCGGCGGGAGGGAGCGGUGGAUGCGGGUGAUCUCGCCGACGACGCCGUCGAUGGUUAGGAGGGAGUGAAUCAUGGUGAUGUUGGGGGGAAUUGUGAUGAGUUCAUGCAAUUUUGGUGAAUGUGUGGAAGAAUCUAGAGUUGGGGAUUUCAGGCGAAUAAAAAUCAAGGUUG
rnacentral:misc_RNA from 1 species